rnacentral:rRNA from 1 species
UACAGAGGGUGCGAGCGUUAAUCGGAAUUACUGGGCGUAAAGCGUGCGUAGACGGUUAUUUAAGUCGGGUGUGAAAGCCCCGGGCUCAACCUGGGAAUUGCAUUCGAGACUGAAUAGCUAGGGUACGGUAGAGGGAAGUGGAAUUUCCGGUGUAGCGGUGAAAUGCGUAGAUAUCAGGAGGAACACCAAUUGCGAAGGCAGCUCGCUGGGACGUUACUGACGCUGAGACGCGAAAGCGUGGGGAGCAAACAGG